rnacentral:rRNA from 1 species
AGAGUUUGAUCCUGGCUCAGAACGAACGCUGGCGGCAUGCCUAACACAUGCAAGUCGAACGAAGGCUUCGGCCUUAGUGGCGCACGGGUGCGUAACACGUGGGAACGUACCUUUCGGUUCGGAAUAAUACAGGGAAACUUGUACUAAUACCGGAUACGCCCUUUUGGGGAAAGAUUUAUCGCCGAUUGAUCGGCCCGCGUCUGAUUAGCUAGUUGGUGAGGUAAUGGCUCACCAAGGCGACGAUCAGUAGCUGGUCUGAGAGGAUGAUCAGCCACACUGGGACUGAGACACGGCCCAGACUCCUACGGGAGGCAGCAGUGGGGAAUCUUGCGCAAUGGGCGAAAGCCUGACGCAGCCAUGCCGCGUGAAUGAUGAAGGUCUUAGGAUUGUAAAAUUCUUUCACCGGGGACGAUAAUGACGGUACCCGGAGAAGAAGCCCCGGCUAACUUCGUGCCAGCAGCCGCGGUAAUACGAAGGGGGCUAGCGUUGCUCGGAAUUACUGGGCGUAAAGGGAGCGUAGGCGGACAUUUAAGUCAGGGGUGAAAUCCCGGGGCUCAACCUCGGAAUUGCCUUUGAUACUGGGUGUCUUGAGUAUGAGAGAGGUGUGUGGAACUCCGAGUGUAGAGGUGAAAUUCGUAGAUAUUCGGAAGAACACCAGUGGCGAAGGCGACACACUGGCUCAUUACUGACGCUGAGGCUCGAAAGCGUGGGGAGCAAACAGGAUUAGAUACCCUGGUAGUCC